GAUGAACGCUGGCGGCAUGCUUAACACACGCAAGUCGAACGGGAAGUGGUGUUUCCAGUGGCGAACGGGUGAGUAACGCGUAAGAACCUGCCCUUGGGAGGGGAACAACAACUGGAAACGGUUGCUAAUACCCCGUAGGCUGAGGAGCAAAAGGAGAAAUCCGCCCAAGGAGGGGCUCGCGUCUGAUUAGCUAGUUGGUGAGGUAAUAGCUUACCAAGGCGAUGAUCAGUAGCUGGUCCGAGAGGAUGAUCAGCCACACUGGGACUGAGACACGGCCCAGACUCCUACGGGAGGCAGCAGUGGGGAAUUUUCCGCAAUGGGCGAAAGCCUGACGGAGCAAUGCCGCGUGGAGGUGGAAGGCCUACGGGUCGUCAACUUCUUUUCUCGGAGAAGAAACAAUGACGGUAUCUGAGGAAUAAGCAUCGGCUAACUCUGUG
rnacentral:rRNA from 1 species